ACGGGUGAGUAAUGUCUGGGAAACUGCCUGAUGGAGGGGGAUAACUACUGGAAACGGUAGCUAAUACCGCAUAAUGUCGCAAGACCAAAGAGGGGGACCUUCGGGCCUCUUGCCAUCGGAUGUGCCCAGAUGGGAUUAGCUUGUUGGUGGGGUAAUGGCUCACCAAGGCGACGAUCCCUAGCUGGUCUGAGAGGAUGACCAGCCACACUGGAACUGAGACACGGUCCAGACUCCUACGGGAGGCAGCAUG
rnacentral:rRNA from 1 species